rnacentral:rRNA from 1 species
GACAGAGGGGGCAAGCGUUGCUCGGAAUUACUGGGCGUAAAGGGCGCGUAGGCGGAAUGGCAAGUCGGUCGUGAAAUCCUUCGGCUCAACCGAAGAACGUCGAUCGAAACUGCCGUUCUUGAGGAUUGCAGAGGAGACUGGAAUUCCCGGUGUAGCGGUGAAAUGCGUAGAUAUCGUAAGGAAGACCAGUGGCGAAGGCGGCUCUCUGGGCCUUACCUGACGCUGAGGAGCGAAAGCGUGGGUAGCGAACAGG